AACGAACGCUGGCGGCAUGCCUAACACAUGCAAGUCGAACGAGACCUUCGGGUCUAGUGGCGCACGGGUGCGUAACGCGUGGGAACCUGCCCUUAGGUUCGGAAUAACUCCCCGAAAGGGGUGCUAAUACCGGAUAAUGUCUUCGGACCAAAGAUUUAUCGCCUUUGGAUGGGCCCGCGUUGGAUUAGCUAGUUGGUAGGGUAAAAGCCUACCAAGGCGACGAUCCAUAGCUGGUCUGAGAGGAUGAUCAGCCACACUGGGACUGAGACACGGCCCAGACUCCGACGGGAGGCAGCAGUGGGGAAUAUUGGCCGAUGAGCGAAAGCCUGAUCCAUCAAUGCCGCGUGAGUGAUGAAGGCCUUAGCGUUGUAAAGCUCUUUUACCCGGGAUGAUAAUGACAGUACCGGGCGAAUAAGCUCCGGCUAACUCCGUG
rnacentral:rRNA from 1 species